UACGUAGGGUGCAAGCGUUGUCCGGAAUUACUGGGUGUAAAGGGUGCGCAGGCGGCCGAGUGUGUUAGAUGUGAAAUCCCGGGGCUCAACCCCGGAACUGCGUCUAAAACUACUUGGCUAGAGUAUUGGAGAGGGUAGCGGAAUUCACGGUGUAGCAGUGAAAUGCGUAGAUAUCGUGAGGAACACCAGAGGCGAAGGCGGCUACCUGGACAAUUACUGACGCUCAGGCACGAAAGCGUGGGGAGCAAAAGGG
rnacentral:rRNA from 1 species